rnacentral:misc_RNA from 1 species
GAUGAAGAACGUAGCGAAAUGCGAUAAGUAAUGUGAAUUGCAGAAUUCAGUGAAUCAUCGAAUCUUUGAACGCGCCUUGCACCCUUUGGUAUUCCGAAGGGUAUGCUCGUUUGAGUGUCAUUGUACUCUCACACUUCUAAUUCCUUUCGGGAUUGGGAGCGGUGGACUUGGGUGUUGCUGCUUUAGUUGUGGCUCACCUCAAAUAAGUUAGUGCAACUCUUGGUUGGACAUAGUACGGCGUGAUAAGUGUCUUCGCCGGCGCCUCUGUAAGGAGGGUGGCCGAUCGGGAGCUCUGUGCUUCAAACCGUCUUCGGACAAUCUUUGACAACUUGACCUCAAAUCGAGUAGGACUACCCGCUGAACUUAAGCAUAUCAAUAAGCGGAGGA